GACGAACGCUGGCGGCGUGCUUAACACAUGCAAGUCGAACGGAAAGGCCCUGCUUUUGUGGGGUGCUCGAGUGGCGAACGGGUGAGUAACACGUGAGUAACCUGCCCUUGACUUUGGGAUAACUUCAGGAAACUGGGGCUAAUACCGGAUAGGAGCUCCUGCUGCAUGGUGGGGGUUGGAAAGUUUCGGCGGUUGGGGAUGGACUCGCGGCUUAUCAGCUUGUUGGUGGGGUAGUGGCUUACCAAGGCUUUGACGGGUAGCCGGCCUGAGAGGGUGACCGGCCACAUUGGGACUGAGAUACGGCCCAGACUCCUACGGGAGGCAGCAGUGGGGAAUAUUGCACAAUGGGCAGAAGCCUGAGGCAGCAACGCCGCGUGCGGGAUGACGGCCUUCGGGUUGUAAACCGCUUUCGCCUGUGACGAAGCGUGAGUGACGGUAAUGGGUAAAGAAGCACCGGCUAACUACGUG
rnacentral:rRNA from 1 species